rnacentral:rRNA from 1 species
GAUGAACGCUGGCGGCGUGCUUAACACAUGCAAGUCGAGCGAGUGAGUUCUUCGGAACGAUCUAGCGGCGGACGGGUGAGUAACACGUGGGCAACCUGCCUCAUAGAGGGGAAUAGCCUCCCGAAAGGGAGAUUAAUACCGCAUAAAAUUAUCGAGUGGCAUCACAUGAUAAUCAAAGGAGUAAUCCGCUAUGAGAUGGGCCCGCGGCGCAUUAGCUAGUUGGUGAGGUAACGGCUCACCAAGGCGACGAUGCGUAGCCGACCUGAGAGGGUGAUCGGCCACAUUGGGACUGAGACGCGGCCCAGACUCCUACGGGAGGCAGCAGUAGGGAAUAUUGCACAAUGGGGGAAACCCUGAUGCAGCAACGCCGCGUGAGUGAUGAAGGUCUUCGGAUUGUGAAGCUCUGUCUUUGGGGACGAUAAUGACGGUACCCAAGGAGGAAGCCACGGCUAACUACGUGCCAGCCGCCGCAGUAA